CCCGGGCUCAACCUGGGAACUGCAUUCGAAACUGGCAGGCUUGAGUCUUGUAGAGGGGGGUAGAAUUCCAGGUGUAGCGGUGAAAUGCGUAGAGAUCUGGAGGAAUACCGGUGGCGAAGGCGGCCCCCUGGACAAAGACUGACGCUCAGGUGCGAAAGCGUGGGGAGCAAACAGGAUUAGAUACCCUGGUAGUCCACGCCGUAAACGAUGUCUACUUGGAGGUUGUGCCCUUGAGGCGUGGCUUCCGGAGCUAACGCGUUAAGUAGACCGCCUGGGGAGUACGGCCGCAAGGUUAAAACUCAAAUGAAUUGACGGGGGCCCGCACAAGCGGUGGAGCAUGUGGUUUAAUUCGAUGCAACGCGAAGAACCUUACCUGGUCUUGACAUCCACAGAACUUUCCAGAGAUGGACUGGUGCCUUCGGGAAC
rnacentral:rRNA from 1 species